rnacentral:rRNA from 1 species
UACAGAGGGUGCAAGCGUUAAUCGGAAUUACUGGGCGUAAAGCGUGCGCAGACGGUUACAUAAGUCAGGUGUGAAAGCCCCGGGCUCAACCUGGGAAUUGCAUUUGAGACUGUGUAGCUAGGGUGCGGAAGAGGGAAGCGGAAUUUCCGGUGUAGCGGUGAAAUGCGUAGAUAUCGGAAGGAACACCAGUGGCGAAAGCGGCUUCCUGGUCCAGCACCGACGUUCAGGCACGAAAGCGUGGGGAGCAAACAGG